rnacentral:tRNA from 1 species
UAUUAGAUAACUAAAUUUAAGUGAAGAUCUUUUAAAUCUUCAAUAGUAGGCUUACUACUUCUAAUAA